AUUCUUUUCAAAGUUCAAAGAUAUUUUAUAGAAGCAAUUGUUACAUAUUCCUGAAAAGUUUUUGAUUUUUUAAUUUAUCCCUUUUAGAAGAUUAAUAUUGAAAAUACUUUUUUUACGUUAAUUUCAACUUAUUUUUAAUAUACCUCUAGAGUUAAAAUCUGUUAAUUAAUUCUGUUAUUUCUGUAAAAUUACUAUUUUGCCCUUUCGAAUAUACCCUUCCACUAUCACUGACUUUCUUAUUUGCCCUUAAAGUCAGGGGCACAAAAAGCAUUUUGACUUUUGAUUUUUUUCAAUAUACCCCUCUACCGUCACCAACAUUUCUUAUUUGCCCUUAAGUUAAGGGCAAAAUUGGCAUUUUAAUUUUUUUUAACUGUGGUAGAUAUUUAACUCACGUUUAACCCAAGUUAACUUAACAUGAGAUAACUGCGGGAGUAUUUUGCAAUAACGGUGGAACAUAUGAGGGGUAUUUUAGAAAGAAAAAAAAGGAAUAAAUCGGAUAUUUUCAAACGUAUGAGGGGUAUAUAGGCAAUUAUCCCUAUUUUAUAUAUAACUGGCCGUCCUUAGUGCAUAUGACGAAAAAAAAAUAGUGAUUGAUGCUCGACAUUUCAAGUUCGAAAUCUAGUUAUUUCAUAUUUUUAGUUAAAUUUAUUUUUUUAAAAAUGAACAAAGUGUGCAUGCUAUUUUUCUCUCAAAAAAAAUUUAUAUAUAUAUAUAUAUAUAUA
rnacentral:lncRNA from 1 species